UCGACGAAACGUGCCCAGUGCCCCGGUCGUCCCACUGGCGGUCUUCGUUAAGCGUAUAAACUUUCACUCGCCGCCGAGUGUCCGACAUUGUGAACAGGGGAAAGAAGAGGGGGGUCGGGAGCUAGCAGGCUGGGCUAGCUGUAUGCUAACAAGCUAAGCGAGGCGCCUCGGCGUUUCCUGCCUAGCCGGACAACUUUGCUGGCGCCCACAUGUUACACGGGACGUCGGAGCCGACAGUGAGGACAAAAAGUAACGACGGCGGCGGCGACUACUUCUUCAGCAUGCUCCCAGCCACAGCACCCAACUCGUAAGGGUUCACAGUUCGGAAUUGGUUGUGGCUGUUUCCAUGGAGAUGCUCUGCUUAUCACUCAGCCUCUUGACCAGAGUGGCGAGAGGAGACUGAAGUACUUUGCGUGAGAGGCGCAUCCUGCCGUCCUUGGGGUCCCGUCCAAAAUAUUUCAACUGCAGAAGAGUGGACUGGACUGACGAACACAACACAACAACAUGACAAACACUGGAGGAGAUGAAAGCAUAACGAGAGCACUACACAUCUCCUUGAUGAAGUCCUGCGCCUCGCUCAGCGCUCCCGGUGUGGGAGCAAAGAUGGAAAAUGUCUCCUCAUCUAUCUGACUGAUGGUCACGCCUUCAAGUGACAACAACAAAUGUCCUGAACUUAACGCAACACUUCUUAUCUGAGGUACAGCGUCGUUACCUGUUUGAGCUUGUAACCGUCGAAGGUUGUAACCUCCCGGUCCGAUGAAGAGAGCCCGCCUGGACACGGGCACGCGCACCUCCUCUGAAGAAAAACGGAUACGGAUGAAUAAUUUAAUAUACUGGGGUGGAAAAGGAAUUUCAAUCCAAAACUCACCAACGACCGGGCCGUUCGCCUUCCUGCUCGACCUGGGCUUUGCCAGACUUUUGUUCAUGAUCCCCAAGAUCUCCCGCUUUGCAACUAAAAUGUAAUUUUUGCCAAAUUAAACCAGCAGAAAAAUGUAUUUAAAAAAUAAUGAAUACAAAAUGACAAAUAAAUGCUAAAAAGACUGCAGUACCUGUGGCUUGUUGGAUGGCUUCCAUGACCACCUUGAGAGGUAAACCGGGAAUCUUCACAUCUGCCUGGAAAGAGAUGACUCAGGAGAGUUUUCAUCAGAACAAGGACGAGUGCGCUACAGCAUACUACAGGCUUAAGUCUGUGAUAAAGAGCGCUCAACUGGCUAACUCGUACCAUACAGCAACAAUACGAUCACAAUUUAUAAGCCCGCCCACAUCAAGACAAAAAGAUGCACGCAACGAGCUAACGGUGGAUUUCGGUUCAAAAAGUACGAAAGCUGUACCACAUACAAACAGGAAGGAUUGUCUGAGGAGUGAUUUGUUCUAGGAUUCAAUGUAAUUAUUAUAUUUUUUGUACCAUGCAUGCAUUUUGAAACGUUGUGAGAAAAAAAACAGAGAAAUUAGCCGCUAAGGCAUUGGCAUCAUAGUUCACAAUAUUUACUAGGGAUGUCCCGAUCCAGGUUUUUGCACUUCCGAUCCGAUACCGAUAUUGUUUUGCACUUCCGAUCCGAUACUGGCCGAUACCGAUACCGCACUAUCUGAGCAUGUGUUAAAGUUUAAAGUUAUUUACCCUCCUUACUUAGUUGUCAGACUCAUGUUGAAAAGAGUUUUAGUACUCUUGAUAACAACUAGCCAGCUGAAUUAGGUGAGUUUGAAUAACACACAACGGUUGGUAACAAGAAACUGACCUGUUUAUUCAAUGACAAACACAAAACAUUAUAAAUAACAAACAGAAAUGGCAUAGUCAGUCAGUAAAACGUGCAAAUAAUAUUGUAAACUGUCUUA